ACGCUCGACACCUACGGGAGGCGGCAGUGGGGAAUAUUGCACAAUGGGGGAAACCCUGAUGCAGCGACGCCGCGUGAGUGAAGAAGUAUUUCGGUAUGUAAAGCUCUAUCAGCAGGGAAGAAGAUGACGGUACCUGAGUAAGAAGCCCCGGCUAACUACGUACCAGCAGCCGCGGUAAUCUGAGCGGGCUGGCAAGGC
rnacentral:rRNA from 1 species